GGAAUUGUUCGCAAUGGGCGCAAGCCUGACGACGCAACGCCGCGUGGAGGAUGAAGAUCUUCGGGUCGUAAACUCCUUUCGACCGAGAUGAACAUCCCGCGAUCUAAUAAGUCGCGGGACUGACAGUAUCGAGGGAACAAGCCCCGGCUAACUCCGUGCCAGCAGCCGCGGUAAUACGGGGGGGGGCAAGCGUUGUUCGGAAUUAUUGGGCGUAAAGGGUUCGUAGGUGGCCGGCUAAGUCAAACGUGAAAUCCCUCAGCUUAACUGGGGAACUGCGUCUGAGACUGGUCGGCUUGAGUGCAGGAGAGGAACGCGGAAUUCCAGGUGUAGCGGUGAAAUGCGUAGAUAUCUGGAGGAACACCGGUGGCGAAGGCGGCGUUCUGGACUGCUACUGACACUGAGGAACGAAAGCCAGGGGAGCAA
rnacentral:rRNA from 1 species